CUAGUUGGCGGGGUAACGGCCCACCAAGGCUAUGACGGGUAGCUGGUCUGAGAGGACGACCAGCCACACGGGGACUGAGACACGGCCCCGACUCCUACGGGAGGCAGCAGUGGGGAAUUUUCCGCAAUGGGCGAAAGCCUGACGGAGUGACGCCGCGUGUGGGACGAAGGCCUUCGGGUCGUAAACCACUGUCAGUGGGAAAGAUGGGUGUCGGCGCGAUAACCGCCGGCAUCUGACGGUACCUGCAGAGGAAGCCCCGGCCAACUCUGUGCCAGCAGCCGCGGUAAGACAGAGGGGGCAAGCGUUGCUCGGAAUUACUGGGCGUAAAGGGCGCGUAGGCGGGAUGGCAAGUCGGUCGUGAAAUCCUUCGGCUCAACCGAAGAACGUCGAUCGAUACUGCUGUUCUUGAGGGUUGCAGAGGAGACUGGAAUUCCCGGUGUAGCGGUGAAAUGUGUAGAGAUCGGGAGGAACACCGGUGGCGAAGGCGGGUCUCUGGGCAAUUCCUGACGCUGAGGCGCGAAAGCGUGGGGAGCAAACGGGAUUAGAUACCCCGGUAGUCCACGCUGUAAACGAUGACGACUAGGUGUGGGGGGGUUCAGUCCCCUCCGUGCCGCAGCUAACGCAUUAAGUCGUCCGCCUGGGGAGUACGGCCGCAAGGUUGAAACUCAAAGGAAUUGACG
rnacentral:rRNA from 1 species